rnacentral:lncRNA from 1 species
AGAAGGAGGCCAGGAGUUGUGAGUUUCCAAGCCCCAGCUCACUCUGACCACUUCUCUGCCUGCCCAGCAUCAUGAAGGGCCUUGCAGCUGCCCUCCUUGUCCUCGUCUGCACCAUGGCCCUCUGCUCCUGUGCACAAGUUGGUACCAACAAAGAGCUCUGCUGCCUCGUCUAUACCUCCUGGCAGAUUCCACAAAAGUUCAUAGUUGACUAUUCUGAAACCAGCCCCCAGUGCCCCAAGCCAGGUGUCAUCCUCCUAACCAAGAGAGGCCGGCAGAUCUGUGCUGACCCCAAUAAGAAGUGGGUCCAGAAAUACAUCAGCGACCUGAAGCUGAAUGCCUGAGGGGCCUGGAAGCUGCGAGGGCCCAGUGAACUUGGUGGGCCCAGGAGGGAACAGGAGCCUGAGCCAGGGCAAUGGCCCUGCCACCCUGGAGGCUACCUCUUCUAAGAGUCCCAUCUGCUAUGCCCAGCCACAUUAACUAACUUUAAUCUUAGUUUAUGCAUCAUAUUUCAUUUUGAAAUUGAUUUCUAUUGUUGAGCUGCAUUAUGAAAUUAGUAUUUUCUCUGACAUCUCAUGACAUUGUCUUUAUCAUCCUUUCCCCUUUCCCUUCAACUCUUCGUACAUUCAAUGCAUGGAUCAAUCAGUGUGAUUAGCUUUCUCAGCAGACAUUGUGCCAUAUGUAUCAAAUGACAAAUCUUUAUUGAAUGGUUUUGCUCAGCACCACCUUUUAAUAUAUUGGCAGUACUUAUUAUAUAAAAGGUAAACCAGCAUUCUCACUGUGACGACUCUGUUGAUUUUGUUUCACUAAUCGGAAUCACAGACUGAGAGGAAUUCUGGGGGAGGAGUAGGGAAAUAUGAAAAGGGGCAGAAACAGCAAGAUAGGGACCAAGUACUUCUACAGUCAUACCAGACAUUUCCCUGGAGAUACUUUCCUGAAAAGUUGAAACAGACACCAUUAGUUUAUAAACCAUAUUGUAACUGAAAUGUGAUAGAAAAAUUUUCUACUUAAAUGAAUAUCAAGAUGACGCUGCAAUGCAUAUUUACGCACACAAGCUCAUUUUCAUAAAUGAAGCUUUCCUCAGAAUGAUGGCUAACAUCUGUUGAGGUCUUACCAAGUGCUGGGUUUUGGGCUAAGUACUUAUAUUAGUAAAAGUCUAGCAAAUACUGCCCAUAGUCUAGCAAGGACUCCUUACCUGGAAGUUGCUGAAAGCCUUGGUAAUGUUAUCUUUGUUCUCCACUCUGCUUUUGGGGAGGAUGUUUUCCAUGACUAUACGAGAUGAGGCUUGGGGCUGGGUGGCCAGAGUUAGCAAAUAAAAAUACAGAAUGGAUACUAUUUUAGUGUAAGUAUAUCCCAUGCAAUAUUUGGGACCUACUUGUACCAAAAAUGAUUUGUUCUUUUUCUGAAACUCGAAUUUAACAGGGUAUCCUAAAUUGUAUCUGGCAACCCUCUGAAGAAGGAAUACUGCUUAUAGAGGUGUCUGUUUCCUGUUGGAGAUGUCUGUUGAUUUUGGCUUAAGUGUAGAACAGGGCUUUGGCUUAAGUGUAGAACAGGGCUUUGGCUUAAGUGUGGAACACGGCUUCUCAACCUUGAAUUCACAUUAGAAUCACUUAGGAGAGCUUUUAAAAAUUCUAAUGCCAGGUCCUCACCUCCAAAGUUAUGAAUUUAAUUGGAUUGAUGUGGGGGCCUGGCAUCAGUAAUUUAAAAACUCCCCAGGGGAUGUUAAUGCACAGCCAAGUUUGAGAACCACUGUUGGUGUGGGGUCACAGGCUGUUUUUAACCAGCAUUAAGGUUUCAGAGGCACUGCAACUCCGUUCUAAUUUUUGAAGGCAUCUGAUCUAGUUAUUUUUGGUUCAUUCCAUUGGAUGGUUAAUCAUAAGCAGAAAAUCUAUCAGAUACAGUUAUUUCUAGAACUGGGUUUUUAACACGUCUCUUCCAGCACAGCACUGGGAGCUCUGUGGUCAUCCCUUCCGCCGCCCACCGGCUCCCCCAUUGUAUUGACUCCACAUUGCCCCCUGCUGGUGAAACAAGUGCGAAGGUCAGCGUCUUUAGCUCCCUGCCUCUGAUGAAUACAGCUGCACCUUCACAAAGAGCACAGCUGUUCAUUGUGAUGGUUAAUGUUACGCGUCAACUGGACUAAGCUAAGGGAUACCCAGGUAGCUGAUAAACAUCAUUUCUGAGUGUGUCUGUGUGGUGUUCCAGAAGAGAUUAGCAUCAGAAGACUAAAGAAGAUCUGCCCUCACCAAUGCAGAGCAAGUUUGCCAACCUGUAUCUUAAUUCAUCUUUGUGGCCAGAGAAGUGGAUUUACUGAUUUGUUUCAGCUGAUCAAUGUCUAUAACAAGCAAUGUUGAUGGGCUGAAAACCACACAGACUACCAGAGGGGUUGCUUUUCCGAAGAAUCAUGUAAGGAUAAAAGAGAAAGAAAGAGAGAAAGACCUUGGAACCCAACUAGUAUCUACCAAAUAGACAGGAUCUCACUGUGUUGCCCAGGCUGGUCGCCAACUCCUGGCCUCAAGUGUUCCUCUGGCCCUGGCCUCCCAAAGCACUGGGAUUACAGGGGCAGCUCUUCCCUGGUUCCCUGCAGACCCCAGGUCAGGCCAGAAAACACCUCUAUGGCCCUUCCCUGUGUCCCACCACCAGAUAGGACCUCAAAGGCCUGGGGUCCCCAGGAUGGCCCUCAAACCGACUGGUGCCCUUGCAGGCUGCCACCCUCCAAGUCCUGCUUCUCUCCAGAGAUGGGCAGAAGCACCAGCCCUCGCCUGGCACCAGCAGUGAGUCUCAUAAUUGCCAUUUACCAUUUUGCUAGGGGGGCUUCUGGGGGUCCUAGGAAAAGCAGCAGAUGCCUGGGUGCUUGGGGACCUGGGCAUUCUGAGGGAAGGAGCAGCGUGACCCUGAGUCAUUUUUCACUGGGGACAAGUGAGCCAACUCCUUCUACCCAGUGAUAAAAUCAGAAGGAAGUAGAUGGAGACAGCACUGUUCAGGGGAUGAUUUGGGGAUGAGAAGAACUGGCAGGAAGUUGGAGAUUUGGGGGUGAGAAGAACCAGCAGGAAGUUGGGGAUUUCUUGUUUCCCCACUUUUCCCUUCCAUUUCUGUUUGAGCCUUAGGUUUGGCCUCCAUCUCCCUCUGUAGAAAUUGCAGCUAGUUAGAUAGUCUGCCUCUUAUUCCAGCUCUACUGGGGGAACAUAAUAUGGUCUAAGAAGAAAUUUUUCCAGCAAGAGGCCAUCUCUGCAAAUCACCUGUGAGGCAGACCUGUGGCAAUUUUAUGACUCAGCUGGCCACCAGGAAGCGAUUGUAGCUGGGUUCUGCCCCUUAUUGAAACCUACUCAAUGUUCUCCUUCACUAAGUAGGACAAGACCGUACCCUGCCUUUAAGGUUUAUAGAAUAGAAAGUGAAAACACUUUGGGGAAGAAAAUCUUCCUGAACAGAUAGCCCAGGGCAUUUUGAAAAUCCCUUAGGAAGUUCUCUGUUUCACUUGGGUACCUCUGUCCCUGGACUUUGGCGAUGUGGUUUGACCCCAGCCAGAGAGUGCAGGGAACAACAGCAAAAGGCAGGACAAAGACUGACUCGUGAGAGGAGGCCCAGGAACAGGGGGGCAUCGUGAGAGAGGAGGACGUGAGGGCCCAAGAGUGUGAGCAGAAGAGGAUAGGACUUGGGCACUCAGUCACCAGCUGUGGGGUCUGAGCUGUGUCCCCUUCUCUAAAGAGGUAAGCCCUGAGUCAUGGGAAGAUGGAAACCGGGGCUCAUGAGACAGGAUGUUUUUUAAGCACCGUGGUGUCUUGUUGACUUGCACAUGCAAGGGGGUCUUGGGUAACCACAGGGCUCAGGGUAUUUGCAGGAACAGUUCAAGUGCUCACUUGUCUUGGGGCUGUUUGUGGGGAAGUGGUUUCCACAGCAACAGGAGGUGAGAUAUUGGUGUUACCCCAGACCACACUUAGCUACUUCCUUCUCACUAAAGCUCUGUAGUCAUAUUUUCCCUGGCAGAGCAGAAACUUCUCUGUUAUCCCACAGCUGUUCUAACGGUGUAGACUUGACUUAUGCAAUGAUGCCAGGAGUCCUGAGCAGCACAGCCCAACUUCAAUCACACACAGAUGGACAGAGCUGUAUUAGCAAAGCCUGAGCUACUGAGCGAUGAGAGUACAGCCAGGCUUUCAGACAUCUGUUCAUUCAAGAGAGAUAUGCGCUAAGCCAAGGACCUAAAGAUGUGUUUAAUAUGGGUGCUAAUAUGCAUAAGGAACCUUGAAAUAAAUGUUCUUAGCCUUUGGCCAAGAGGGUCCAUGUCUAGGAAUCUAUUCUCCAUAGAAAUAAAUUCAAAUAUGGAAAAAAUGAACAAUGCAUAAGUGUAUUUGGUCCCCAGCAUAUUUAUAGCAACUUAAAAUUGGACCCAAUUUAAAUUGCCUAUGAUAUGGAAAUGGCUAAGAAAAUUAUGGGAUCUUCCCUUGAUUGGCUAUUAGGCAGCCUUUACAAACAAUGCAGUGACAUGAGAAAUGCUUAUGUUAUGGUAAGCUUAAAAAACUCAAGAUGCAAAUCAGCUUAUUUUAAUCAGGAGCCACCUAGCAUUUGGGAUGUGGUCAAUCCCACAUAAUGUAUUUUUGUGGGUGCAGUUCCCAGGAAAGAGGAGGAAUAAAAACGGCAAGUAUGAAGUGUCUCCUUCGCUUGCAGUCUCCUUGUCUACCCCUUUGUCCAUCCACUAUGAAAGGACUCCCUUCUGUUCCUUAAUAUGGACAAUUUCUAUUGAGGACUCAUUGUUCUAAGAAUUGUCUCAUCUCCUCCUGCAUCCUCAGUGCCCGAUCUUUGGCUUCUAUGAAGGAAGGUGGGUAGUGCUUAUGGCAGGGCCAGUUCUACCUUUCUCAGUAUGUUCUGGAGUGGGUAUGUAGCCCCAUUUUCUAGUGGUUACCUUGACAUCAUGAAGAGUUUAUGUCUCUUUUGCCCUAGAUUUGGGCAAUAGUCAUUCAUUGGGCAACUGGAAAUAACACAAGUCAGCAUCUCAUUAAAAAUAAAGUCAUUCAGGAAAGUGGACGACUAAUAGUUUCUAAUCUAGAGAGCAUAGGAGAAGAAAUGUUUACCACACACAAAGUAUUAGUGCCUUUUAUAUCAUCAAGACAAAAAUAACAGGAAAAAGACAAACACAUUAUAGUGAAAACUUGUUUUUCCUGACCAGCAUCUAUUCUGCAUGUUCCCUGAUGCCAGAAACUCACAUUUCUUCAGGGCAAACCCCCUUCCCCACCAUUCUCAGGCUUUAAGUUUAUGUAAAAUUCAGUAAACCCAAAGAUUCAAGUUAUGUGCCUUGAUUAACUUAAGCAAAUCAAUGAAACCCAUCCCCAUAACCACAGCGACUGGUUAGGAAUUCGGUUCCUAAGUCAGUCAAAUCCAAAAGGGCCUAGUGAUGUUUUUUCCAAUGGGAACACAGACUCACUCUUCCCUGCAGAAAAUGAACAAGGAUUCAUGUACACUGGCAGGUACUGGCAGCCACCCAGGGCCUCUCACAGGAAAGGGAGAUCAGAAAGAGAAGCAAAGAGGACUCAUGAGAUACCACAGGGCCGCUGCGUCCAGCCUUGCCUGGAGCUAGGGCCACCUCGAUGCCCUAUAGUCUUGGAGCCACAAGGUGCAUUUACUCAAAGCCUCUUUGAGUUUGGUUUGCUUGUUUGCUUUCUGCCUGGAAACUGCCAGCAUCCUGAGAGAUACGAGAUCUGCAUCUGUGCAGAGACACAGGGUUUGUUAAAAGUCACAGGCCCUGACUGAAGUGUGGAACUGGCUGAAAUGAGAAAGUAGGAGGUAAUUUGGUGAGGACCUUGUGAAAUGGAAGUGAGUUUUAAACCUUACAUGCAUCAGAAUUACCUGGAGCCUUGUGAAAACACAGGUUGCUGGGCCCUAGUCUAUUAAGAAAGGAAGUGGGGCUCAGAAUAUGCCUUUCUCCCAAGUUCCCAGGUGAUAUUCACCAUGCUGUCCUGUCUGGGCACUACCUUUUGCCAUACCCAUUACAAGGUAUUGCACGUGCUGGUUGAACUAUGGUCUGUCUUAUUUUGGUGCUAAAAGCCUGUGCCAAAUACCAAGGCUGCAGCAUUAAGGAAUUUGUUAGAAAAGAUUCUGAAUAUUGGAAUUUAGUUGCUGUGUAUUAUAUCAGUAAGGUCCUUUAAGAAAGAGUUUAGGCUACUUUGAAAUGGGCUCAUCUGAAAUUGAAAAAGAAGAAAUGCGACUUGCUAAAAAGGCCCUUCCAGCCUGUUGACUGAGAAUCCAGUAAUCUGAAGACUGAAAGGGCUGUAAAUGCAGGAUUUUCUACUCUAAGAUAAAGUUAGCAUGAGCAGAGACAGGAAGAUGAGAGACAUAAUGAGGCCAAGCGUCAAAUAUUCAUCACCUCCACAUGGGCCAAGAUGCAGGCAGAGGUCUCUCACCAGGGGCUGGGAGGUCGGGGUGACAAUGGUAGUGCAGUCUGUGCUAGAAAGUGCACAUCCCCAGCUGGGCGCAGUGGCUCACGCCUGUAAGCUCAGCACUUUGGGAGGCCAAUGCUGGCGGAUCAUGAGGUCAGGAGUUAGAGGCCAGCCUGGCCAACAUGGUGAAACCCUAUCUCUACUAAAAAUAUAAAAACUUAGCUGGGUGUGGUGGCGGGCACCUGUAAUUCAGCUACUUGGGAGGCUGAGGCAGGAGAAUCGCUUGAACCCGGAAGGCGGAGGUUACAGUGAGCCGCGAUCACGCCACUGCACUCUAGCCUGGGUGAUAGUGGGAGACUCCAUCUCAAAAAAAAAAAAAAAAAAAGAAAAAAGAAAAUGCACAUCCCCAACCCCAGUUAAAAUGCAAAUGCAAACUAUGUAACUGACAACCUGUCUGCUUCUGGCUACCUGGCCCAUGGAAUUGAUCAGAAGCAAAUAGUAGCCUACAGACAUUAGAAGGGAGUCACAUUGCCAAAGAAACCAUAAGACUGGUUCCAAAAAGUUGCUGAUUGCACAAUACCUAAGGCAACCUCAGGCUAACUCACACAGACAGGAAGUCAGCAGCCUCCAGAAAGCAGAUCCUCCACAUUGCACAUCUCAGAUUGUCCAUAGAGGACAUUCUCCCAGGGAGGAGAGCUAGGGACUGCCAGAUCAGCUGAACUGCUUAAAAAUGCAGUACCCAUUCUCCAGUUCCCUAUCAGGGGUCUUUGUUCAACUUACUGUUUGUUCAUAACACUUGUAUUUAGGGAAUGUUGGGCAUGAUUAAACUUCGUUUAGCUUUGGGUUUCUAGACCUUGAGAAACAAUUCAGUGCAGGCAAAUAUUGUAUGCCCCUAUAUUUUUUCCUGAAAGCCAAUAAAGAAGGAAUGAUGACACCUUCACUGCGUCUAUGGGGACAAAAGCUGCUUGUGUGUGUGUGUGUGUGUGUGUGUGUGUGUGUGUGCGUGUGUGUGUGUGAGAGAGAGAGAGAGAGAGAGAAACAGCCUUGUCAAAAAGACGUGUUUGUUGCUGUACCCUCAUUAUAUGAAAGCCAUCAUGGCAUCAAAACAGUAUAAGCCAGGUUGAGCUCUAUCCUCUCUGCAUCAACUCAGAAUCCCUACCAGAAAGUGGUUGUGAUGGAUGGAAUAUCACCCAUCAAAGAAUAGGGUAAGAUGAGACCAGAGAGGUAAGCUAUGCAAGCUAAUCAGAAAAUAACUCAAAGUUUUAAAAGUGCAGAAUAUAAAAAGGAAAAACCCUCAUUCCUAAAAAAAAAAAAAAGCCUCAUUUCCUCAAAGAAAUCAGUUAGCUAUUUGAUGUGUAUCUUUCCAAAUAUUUGCCUAUGUAAAUAUAUAUGUAUAUAUGGCAUUUAAAAAUAAAACAAAAUAAUAUACUUUACAGAUAGUUCCAUAGCAUAUGUAGAGAAUAUAUAUGCAUAUACUGAAUGUAAUUAGGUCUGCCUUUUACAUAUAAUAUUAUGGACACUUUCCACAGUUAUAGAUGUGUGCUACUUUUUUUUUACUGACUUCAGAAUAUUCCACUGAUGGACAUCUUAAUCCUCUACUGAUUAAUCCCCUACUGAUGACUGUUUGCAUUUCUUUGCUGUUUGCCAACCACACUGCAAAGAAUAUCCUCAUGUCUACAUAUCUUAUCUUUUGGCAGUGUUUCUAUGAAGCAGAUUCCUAGAAAUGGGAUCAGGUCAAAUGGGAUGUAGUUCACAUAGUAUAUGCAUUUUAAUAUUUGCUAAGUAGUAGUGUUUAUGCUUUAAAGAGUUGGAACACUACAAUUCUAAACAUGUUUGGACACAAAAAAUAGAUUAUUUGAAACAAAAUGAAAUAAGCAUAGCUCGUAAAAAUUAACACGUUUGGUUUUCACACAAAUAUUUUGAAUUUCUCUUUCUUCUGCAAAAAGGACCCUAGCUUAGUAUGGAUUUCUUGUACAGAUAAUGCAAACAAUCCAUCUAUUAAAUAACUUACCUUUCACAGUAAACCUAUAGACAGCAUCCUGCUCCACACAGAAGCUGAUUGUCUUUUCCUUCUCUAACAUUAGCUAUUUAUUUUGUAGAGUGUAGAUUCUAGAGAAAUAAUGUAUAAUACACCUGUUGCCAUAUGCAGAGACUUACCACAUUUAGAAAACAGUGGUGAAUUCUAUUGACAGUGGCUCUCAGUCAUUAACAUGCUAUGGAACACCUCAUGAGCUUGAUAAAAAUAUCAGUUCCCAGGUCUACACUUAAAGAUCCUAUUUAAGUGGCUUCAACAAUCACUGCUCAAACACUCUAUGUCAACUCAGAAUCCUGACAGGAAGUGGUUGCAAUGGAUAAAGUAUCAUCUGUUAAAGAAUGGGGUAAGAUUUGAGUAUAGGCGGGUCAUACUUUGGGAAAUAACUUGGUCAAUGGUUAACAGCAUAGUCUGUAGUUCAAUAAAAGUCCAGUUUUGGAACACAAUUGACCGUUUACGUGCUGUGUAACCUCAGCCAAGUUGUCUAACCUUUCUGAGCCCUGGGUUACUUUUCUGUCAAGUGGAGGUAUUAAUAGUACCUAAGCUGUACUAUUGCAUUGGUAAGAUUAAAUGAGCAAUGUAUAAAAAGCGCUCAGUAGGAGGAGUAAGCCUCAACAAUGUAAAUAAUUGCUAUUAAGAGCUUGAUUCAUCAUGAAUAUGCCCUACAGAAUACUAUGCUUAAUGGUGGCCAUUCGAGUAGUGAAUUCUCCUAGAGCAUGCAUGUUAUGAUUUGAGUUAUAACAUAUUCGUAGUUUCAAUGUUCCAGAACUGUGUCUCCGUUGUAAAGUGGAUAACUCUGUGGUAGCCCUCCCCAUCUCUCCCAAUUUCCCUCCAUUUCACCUCUUCCUAAUCUUUGCCUAUGAUUCCUCUUAACCAGUGAUUUUGAUUUGCCAGAAAAACAAAACCAAACUCAAUACUGGUUUACCUUUUAAAAGAG